AGGAGGAACAACCCCAGUUGCGGCGGCAGCUCUAUAGCCCUGGAGUCAGCACCUGCAGGAACUCCAGAGCUCUCCGUCUGCAGAGCCUGGAGUUUCCGGGGCGGG
rnacentral:pre_miRNA from 1 species